rnacentral:rRNA from 1 species
UGGGGAAUAUUGGACAAUGGGCGCAAGCCUGAUCCAGCCAUGCCGCGUGUGUGAAGAAGGCCUUAGGGUUGUAAAGCACUUUCAGGAGUGAGGAAGGGCGUGCAGUUAAUACCUGUAUGUUUUGACGUUAACUCCAGAAGAAGCACCGGCUAACUCUGUGCCAGCAGCCGCGGUAAUACAGAGGGUGCGAGCGUUAAUCGGAAUUACUGGGCGUAAAGCGCGCGUAGGCGGUUUGUUAAGUCGGAUGUGAAAUCCCAGGGCUCAACCUUGGAAUGGCACCCGAUACUGGCAGGCUAGAGUACGGUAGAGGGGUGUGGAAUUUCCUGUGUAGCGGUGAAAUGCGUAGAUAU